GGGGUCUGUCCCCUGGGCCCCCUGCCCCUGCCCAAGGAGCAGCUCUACCAGCAGGCGCUGCAGGAGCCCGCCUGGCACCACAUGCCGCACCCCUCCGACUCCGAGAGGAUCAGGGCACGAAGGCGCAGUACCUGGCGGCCAAGGCCCUCAAGAAGCAAUCCUGGCGCUUCCACACCAAGUACAUGAUGUGGUUCCAGCGGCACGAGGAGCCCAAAACCAUCACGGACGAGUUCGAGCAGGGCACUUACAUCUACUUCGACUACGAGAAGUGGGGGCAGCGCAAGAAGGAAGGCUUCACCUUCGAGUAUCGUUACCUGGAGGACCGAGACCUGCAGUGAGGGGACCCAAAAUCCCCCAAAAUCAACCCAAAAAUCCCCCCCAAACCCCCUGCAUGCUUUUUGGGGGGGGGGUCAGAACCAGCUUCACCCCAAAUUUCCCCCUCUCGGUGCUGCCGAAUUUUUGGGGGGGUUAAGGGUUGAAAAACCACCGAAAAACCACCAAAAAACCACCAAAAAAAGGAAAUUUUGGGGGGAUUUUUUGGGUUUUUUUGGGGUUUUUUUGGGGUCCCCCCCCUGGGGGUUUUUUUUUUUUCUCUUCCCCCCCACCACCACCCUCAGCAGUUGAUAUUUUUUCGUAAAGUUAUUUUCAUUUUUGGAAAAUAUUUAUGAAUAAAUAGUUUUAUAUCAGAGCUCGUCGUUGGGGG
rnacentral:lncRNA from 1 species